GAGGGUUUAGCUCAGUGGUAGAGUGCUUUCUUAGCAUGCAUGAGGUCCUGGGUUCAAUCCCCAGUGGCUCCA
rnacentral:tRNA from 1 species